UGCCAGCCGCCGCGGUAAUACGAAGGGACCUAGCGUAGUUCGGAAUUAUUGGGCGUAAAGGGCGCGCAGGCGGUCUUGUCCGUCAGGUGUGAAAGCUCGGGGCUCAACCCCGGAAGUGCACUUGAAACAGCAAGACUUGAAUACGGUAGAGGAGAGAGGAGUUCCUGGUGUAGAGGUGAAAUUCGUAGAUAUCAGGAGGAACACCAAUGGCGAAGGCAUCUCUCUGGGCCGAUAUUGACGCUGAGGCGCGAAGGCGUGGGUAGCGAACGGGAUUAGAUA
rnacentral:rRNA from 1 species